GUUCGGCUGAUUUUGUUUUGACAGUUUUCAUGGACCUCCCCUUUUUUUAAUUGACUUUAGGUUCGGUAUUUUUGUUAUAAAUGCUUUACUGGAUACCAAGGCGGGUUUCACAUGUGGUGCGCCAGAGGUACUCCUCAGAUUUUAAUGAGGUUUCGUUUUGCGUAGUCUUCAGUUUUCUAUGUGGUGUUUUAUUGAUUCCGUUUGCCUUUUUGGUAUUAUUUUUUAUGAUUUGUAAGUUUACUUUUAAUUUAUGAGUUUAGAUAUUCCUUUGGUAUCUUUCGCCUUAUUUUUUCAUAUGAGAAAAAAUGUUUGCUUGUAAGUCAUCCCAAGGACAAAUAGAAAUAUUUA
rnacentral:lncRNA from 1 species